rnacentral:rRNA from 1 species
AACGAACGCUGGCGGCAUGCCUAACACAUGCAAGUCGAACGAGACCUUCGGGUCUAGUGGCGCACGGGUGCGUAACGCGUGGGAACCUGCCCUUAGGUUCGGAAUAACUCCCCGAAAGGGGUGCUAAUACCGGAUAAUGUCUUCGGACCAAAGAUUUAUCGCCUUUGGAUGGGCCCGCGUUGGAUUAGCUAGUUGGUAGGGUAAAAGCCUACCAAGGCGACGAUCCAUAGCUGGUCUGAGAGGAUGAUCAGCCACACUGGGACUGAGACACGGCCCAGACUCCUACGGGAGGCAGCAGUGGGGAAUAUUGGACAGUGGGCGAAAGCCUGAUCCAGCAAUGCCGCGUGAGUGAUGAAGGCCUUAGGGUUGUAAAGCUCUUUUACCCGGGAUGAUAAUGACAGUACCGGGAGAAUAAGCUCCGGCUAACUCCG